GACGAACGCUGGCGGCGUGCUUAACACAUGCAAGUCGAACGAAGUGGCGGACGGGUGAGUAACGCGUAAUCAACCUGCCCUUCAGAGGGGGACAACAGUUGGAAACGACUGAUAAUACCGCAUACUGAAGGAGGGGAUGGCGUGGGAUUAGCUAGUUGGGGGGGUAACGGGCCACCAAGGCGAGGAUCAGUAGCCGGGCUGGGAUGAGGAACGGCCAAAUUGGGACUGAGACACGGCCCCGACUCCUAAGGGAGGCAGCAGGGGGGAAUCUUCCGCAAUGGACGGAAGUCUGGCGGAGCAAAGCCGGGUGAGUGAUGACGGCCUUCGGGGUGGAAAGCUCUGUUAAUCGGGACGCGGUACCGGAAUAGAAAGCCACGGCUAACUACGUGCCAGCAGCCGCGGUAAUAC
rnacentral:rRNA from 1 species